UCUCAGUUGCUUUUAGUCCCAGAGUCGCCUCAGAAUGAAUAGAAGAAUGAGGCCACUUGGAUUUGGAUUGAUACAGUCAGCUUUUUGAUUGUUAAAUGUACGAUUUCACCAAAAUCAAUGAUGCCUUGUCCUUUUUCUCCUGCCUGUGGCUAACAGAGACUGUGACAAACAAAGCACAAGAACCACGGGACAGAAGAGUCUAAGAAGCCCCUGGAUGCACAAGUCGGCCAUGUGUAGCUGAAUUGGAGACUGUCCUGGCCUAGCCUCAUCUCAUCUGCCCGUGUUGGGCACUGAGGUACCCAGAGCUCACCACCCGAUAUGGACCUCUCCUGUAGGUGGUGUGGGAUAAGCCUCAGAGUUCUGCUCAAAAGUUACCAGUGUCUUUCUGCAAUCAAGUGUCUCCCAGGUAUAAUAAGCCUUUUGGGUCUGCCCCAAGAAAGGCAUCUCUCUGGUUCCUGUGAACUUCCAAGAAAAGCACUCGGUCAGAGACAGGAGGAUGAUUUCAGGAAGAAACCAUCGGCUCCAACCGGUAUGGCAUUCCUAGAAGUAUUCUUUACUGAUAUCAUGAGGACUCUGGAGUUCAUCAAGUUGUCAGUCAAGAUCAGCCACUACAGGAGCCCACAGGCGAUGUCUACAGAGACUGAGGACCAAUCAUUGUGUAUCUCAGCCAUAGCCUCAUAGUUGUUCUACUAAAAAUAAGCUGACAUAUCUAUUACUGGAUGAGUUGGAAUUAACAAUACAAUAUUAUAAUUUUACAAAAUAUGAUAAAAAUAAAUAU